rnacentral:rRNA from 1 species
GAUGAACGCUGGCGGCGUGCCUAACACAUGCAAGUCGAGCGAUCUUCUUCGGAAGAGAGCGGCGGACGGGUGAGUAACGCGUGGGUAACCUGCCUCAUACACAUGGAUAACAUACCGAAAGGUAUGCUACUACAAGAUGAUAUAAGAGAUUCGCAUGGAUGUCUUAUCAAAGAUCCGGCGGUAUGAGAUGGACCCUCGUCUGAUUAGCUAGUUGGUAAGGUAACGGCUUACCAAGGCAACGAUCAGUAGCCGACCUGAGAGGGUGAUCGGCCACCUUGGAACUGAGAAACGGUGCAAACUCCUACGGGAGGCAGCAGUGGGAAAUAUUGCACAAUGGGCGAAAGCCUGAUGCAGCAACGCCGCGUGAGCGAUGAAGGCCUUCGGGUCGUAAAGCUCUGUCCUCAAGGAAGAUAAUGACGGUACUUGAGGAGGAAGCCCCGGCUAACUACGUACCAGCAGCCGCAGUAAAAC